CACUCCUACGGGAGGCAGCAGUGGGGAAUUUUGGACAAUGGGCGAAAGCCUGAUCCAGCAAUGCCGCGUGUGUGAAGAAGGCCUUCGGGUUGUAAAGCACUUUUGUCCGGAAAGAAAUCCUUGGCUCUAAUACAGUCGGGGGAUGACGGUACCGGAAGAAUAAGCACCGGCUAACUACGUGCCAGCAGCCGCGGUAAUACGUAGGGUGCGAGCGUUAAUCGGAAUUACUGGGCGUAAAGCGUGCGCAGGCGGUUUGCUAAGACCGAUGUGAAAUCCCCGGGCUCAAUCUGGGAACUGCAUUGGUGACUGGCAGGCUAGAGUAUGGCAGAGGGGGGUAGAAUUCCACGUGUAGCAGUGAAAUGCGUAGAGAUGUGGAGGAAUACCGAUGGCGAAGGCAGCCCCCUGGGCCAAUACUGACGCUCAUGCACGAAAGCGUGGGGAGCAAACAGGAUUAGAAACCCUGGUAGUCCCAUGA
rnacentral:rRNA from 1 species